GGCAAGAUGGCCGAGCGGUUAUGGCGGUAGGUUCAAGUAAUCAAAUAUUACUUACCUGUAAUACAGGCAGUGUUCUACUGGGGAAACCCGCGUGGGUUCGAAUCCCACUCUUGUCA